rnacentral:lncRNA from 1 species
GCAGCACCUGAAAUGGGCCUUUCUUAUUGAUUUUGUUUCUUCGUGAUGCGGCUAAAUAUUGGAAUCAAGUUACUGCCAAAUAUCGGAAUCAAGUUUAUUUAGUUUGGGCUUUGGUUAUUUGAAGACGAUGAAACAAUAUUUUUGCUGCAAAAGAUGUUUGGUUAGGGCUGCAACUCGACGAGACGACAUUAAGAUGUUCUUGAACAAAGAUGACGAAGUUUGGGACUGAACAACUUGAAGAUUCGGUUACCUUUUAAGUGUAUUUUAAUAUAUCUCGAUGUAUUUCAUUGUAUUCAUUGUCGUUUUUUCAUUGUAUCUCAUUGUAUUCCAUGCAUUUCAUUAUAUUUC